rnacentral:lncRNA from 1 species
GAUUCCAGUUCAGCCACAAUAGAAUAGGGCACUAAGCAGAGACAGGAGGCCCCAAUUCCCAGCCCUAACUCCUGGAUGACAUUUCUAGACACACCUUAAAUUGAAAGGAAUCUGCUCUCUUGAAAGGAAGGACCGAGUUGACAGGAUUUGUUACCUGCUGAUUAAAGCCCUCAUUGGACCUUGAAUAAUCAGCACCGAUAACAAGAGAAUACAUGUCAUGGGCCUUGGGUGAGACUCGGAGAGAUGCUGGAAUAAGGAGUAACCAAGCAUAUUCACAGCUGUGAUGGCUAUGAAGAUGGAUAGACUCCUCUGCUGAGAAAAGGAGAAGGAAGUAUAAAGGCAAAUUUUUCUUGCAACUUAGGCGCUAGCAUUGUCACACUGGGAAAGAGCACCAAGUGCGCUCUUGGGGUACUCAAUUCCACAUCUUUGAUCUUGGAUGGCAUUUCUGGACUUUCCUCUGGGCAAGAGGGGAGACCACUGCUGUGAAGGUGAGUCACAGACCUAGCAAAAACUGCUUGACAAGCCCUUGGUCUUUAAGGAAACAUUGGCAGUACUUCCUGUGGACUGGUGGUAGUGGUGGAAGAGGUGAGAAACACCUCUGCCUGAGGAAAUGGGAGGAAAGACUGAGAAAAACGUUGUCGUGUGGUUUCAGUGCCAGCUUAGCCAAAAUAGAAUAGAGCACCAGGUAAAAUCAAAGGUUUCUGACUCCAGGCAGUGGCUCCCAGAUGGCAAUUCUGGACCUGUCAGGGGCCUAGAAGAACUUGCUUUCCUGGAGGGAAGGACACAAGAUUAACUGGCUUAACCACCUGGUAUUUGUAGACUCCUAGGUCCCUGGACAAACAUAGGUGGUAGCCAGGUAGUAGUUACAGCAGGCCUCAGGCAAGGUCCAGUACUGUAUAGGCUUCAGAUCAGACCCAGCACAGUCCAAGUGGGGGUGGCCACAGGGAUGUUUGUGUUAUCCCUCACCCCAGCUCCAGGCAGCUCAGCAAAGAGAGUGAGACUCUGUUUGUUUGGGAGAAAGUGAGGAAAGUGAAUAAAAGUCUGUUCUUGGAAAUCCAGGAAAUUCUUCCAGAUCUUAUCUAAGACCACCAAGGUGGUCCCUGUACAAAUCUUCAAGAAAUAUGAUGUUACUGGGCUUGGGGUGCCACUAAUGGAAAUACAGAUAUAGUGCCCAAAAAUUUAAAUCACAACACCUAAGUCCCUUCAAAUACCUGGAAAGCCUUCCCAAGAAGAAUGAGUACAAACAAGCCUAGACUUUGAGGACUACAAUAAAUACCUAAUUAUUCAAUGCCCCCAAAUCACCAAAUAUUCAUAAACAUCAACACCAUCCAGGAAAACAUAACCUCAGAAAAUAAACUAAAUAAAGCACCAGGGACAAACCUUGGGGAGACAUAGAUAUGGUGACUCUUCAGGCAGAGAAUUCAAAAUAGCUGUCUUCAGGAAACUCAAAGAAAUUCAAAAUUACACAGAGAAGAAGUUUAGAAUUCCAGGAGAUAAAUCGAACAUGGGAAUUUAAAUAAUUAAAACGAAUCAAGCAGAAAUUCUGGAGGUGAAAAAUGCGAGUGACACACCGAAAGAUGCAUCGGAGUCUCCUAAUAGCAGAACUGAUCAAGCAGAAUAAAUAAUUAGUGAGCUUUAAGACAGGUUAUUUAAAACUACACAAAGGAAACAAAAAAAAAUUGAGGCACGCCUAAUAGAUUUUUAAAAGGGCAAAUCUAAGAGGUAUUGGACUUAAAGAGAAGGUAAAGAAAGAGAUAGAUGUAGAAAGACUUACAUUUCACAUAAUGGGUGUUGAAUACACAUUCUUCUCAACACAUGGAUUAUUUUCAAAGAUAAACUAUUAUGUUAGGCCACAAAACAAGUAUUAAAACAUCCAAAAUAUUAAAUAAUAUUUAGCAUCUACUCUGACCACAAUGGAAUAAAACUAGAAAUCUAUAAUAAGAAAAAUUUUGGAAACUAUAUAAUCACAUGGAAUUUAAACAAUAUUCUCCUGAAUGACCAGUGGGUCAAUGAAAACAGAAAGAGAAAAUUCAUAGGAGAAAAGAAAUAAAGAUCAAAGAAGAAAUAAAGAAAAUUAAAAUUGAGAAAAUAAUACAAAGAUUAACAAAACAAAAAGUAUUUUCAAAAGAUAAAAAUAAUAAAACAUUUUAACCAGACUGAGAAGAAAAAGACAGAAGACAAAAUAAAUAAAAUCAGAGAUUAAAAGGGAGACAUUGCAACCAAUUCUGCAGAAACUCAAAGGUUUAUAGAGGUUACUAUGAGCAACUAUGUGCCAACACAUUGGAAAACCUAGAAGAAAUAGGUAAAUUUCCAGACACAUAAAAUCUACCAAGAUUGAACCAUGAAGAAAUCCAAAACAUAAAUAGAACAGUAACUAGUAAAAAGAUUGAAAUCAUAAUGAAAAGUCUCCCAGCAAACAAAAGCCUGGGACACAAUGUCAUCACUGCUGAAUUUUAUGAAACAUUUAAAUAAAUAAUACCAAUUCUACUCCAAUUAUUCCAAAAAAUAGAGGUAAAUGGAAUAAUUCCAAACUCAUUCUACAAGAUCAGUAUUACCCUGAUAACAAAACCAAACACUUAUCAAAAAAAGCCAAAAUCUCUGAUGAACAUUGAUGCAAGAAUUCUCAACAAAAUAGUAGCAAACUGAAUUCAACAACACAUUAAAAAGAACAUUCAUCAUAACCAAGUGAGAUUUAUCCCAGGGAUUCAAGGAUGGUUCCAUAUAUGCAAAUUAAUUAAUGUGAUAUAUCAACACAAUGAAGGAAAAAAACCACAUGAUCAUUUCAAUUGAUGCUGAAAUGGGCAUCCUUCUCUUAUUCUAGUGCUCAGGGGCAAUGCUUUUGGCUCUUCCCCAUUCAGUGCUGUCGGUUUGUCAUAGAUGGCUUUUAUUACUUUGAGUUGUGUCCCUUCUGUGCCAAUUUUGUUGAGAGUUUUUAUCAUAAAGGAUGCUGGAUUUUGUCAAAUGCUUUUUCUGCAUCUAUUGAGAUGAUCAUAUAAUUCUUGUUUUUAAUUCUGUUAAGGUAAUGCAUUACAUUUAUUGAUUUGAGUAUAUAAAACCAUCCCUCACAAUUGUCAAAAGAUAUACACACAACAAGGGUAUAAAAAAAACUCAACAUCACUAAUUAUCAGAAAAAUGCAAAUUAAAACCACAAUGUGACAGAACCUCACUCCUGCAAGAAUGGCCAUACUUUCUUAAAUCAAAAAAUAAUAAAUGUUGAUGUGGACGUGGUGAAAAGGAAACACUUUUACACUGCUGGUGGAAUGUAAACGAGUACAACCACUACAGAAAACACUAUGGAAAUUUAUUAAAUAACUAAAAGUAGUUGUAACAUUUGACCCAGCAAUCCCCUCACUGGGUAUCUACCAAAAGGAAAAUAAGUCAUUAUAUGAAAGAGACACUUGCACACGCGAUAACUGAGUCUCCAGAUAACAGAAAGAUCUUUCCUAUCAUUGCAAAUAAUGACAUUUAAUGCCUACUGGAUUAGGGUAAAAGAAAGUCACCUAGCCAACAGCAGCUUGAAAGAUAAUAAGAAAUGCCAAGGCACUGGUAGAGCCAAGAUGGCUGACUAGGCAUAGCCACUGAGAUCUUCUCCCAGCAACAAAGACCAAAUCAUCAAGUAGACCUACACACUCUGAACAGAUCUUUGGAAAGAAGGUGUUGAGAGUGGAUAGAGGGAGGACACUCACUUGGGUUGAAAAAGGAGGAAGCUGGGAACCCCACAUUGGGU